rnacentral:rRNA from 1 species
CGCUAGCGGGAGGCCUAACACAUGCAAGUCGAACGGGAUUGAGAGCUUGCUCUCAUGAGAGUGGCGCACGGGUGAGUAACGCGUAUGCAACCUACCUAUAACUGAGGGAUAGCCCAUAGAAAUGUGGAUUAAUACCUCAUAGUUCUUUUGGUCCGCAUGGAUUGAAAGAUAAAGCUCCGGCGGUUAUAGAUGGGCAUGCGUGACAUUAGCUAGUUGGUAAGGUAACGGCUUACCAAGGCUACGAUGUCUAGGGGUUCUGAGAGGAUGAUCCCCCACACUGGUACUGAGACACGGACCAGACUCCUACGGGAGGCAGCAGUGAGGAAUAUUGGUCAAUGGGCGCAAGCCUGAACCAGCCAUCCCGCGUGAAGGAUGACGGCCCUAUGGGUUGUAAACUUCUUUUAUACACCAAGAAAAACACCCACGUGUGGGUGCCCGACGGUAGUGUAUGAAUAAGCAUCGGCUAACUCCGUGCCAGCAGCCGCGGUAAUACGGAGGAUGCAAGCGUUAUCCGGAUUCAUUGGGUUUAAAGGGUGCGUAGGCGGCUUUUUAAGUCAGUGGUGAAAUCCUGCCGCUUAACGGUAGAAUUGCCAUUGAUACUGAUAAGCUUGAGUACAAUUGAGGUAAGCGGAAUGUGUAGUGUAGCGGUGAAAUGCUUAGAUAUUACACAGAACACCGAUUGCGAAGGCAGCUUACUAAACUGUUACUGACGCUGAUGCACGAA